rnacentral:rRNA from 1 species
AUUCCAGCUCCAAUAGCAUAUAUUUAAGUUGUUGCAGUUAAAAAGCUCGUAGUUGGAUCUCGGGUCGUAAGGGUCGGUCCACCUACUCGGUGUGCACCUACCCUUCCGUCCCUUUUUUCGGCGGUGUGCUCCUGGCCUUAAUUGGCUGGGUCGCGGUUCCGGCAUUGUUACUUUGAAAAAAUUAGAGUGCUCAAAGCAAAAUUAUGCUCUAAAUACAUUAGCAUGGAAUAACGUGAUAUGAGUCUGGUCCUAUUGUGUUGGCCUUCGGGACUGGAGUAAUGAUUAAUAGGGACUGUCGGGGGAAUUCGUAUUUCAGUGUCAGAGGUGAAAUUCUUGGAUUUAUGAAAGACGAACCACUGGGAAAGCAUUUGCUGAGGAUUUUUUCAUUA